rnacentral:rRNA from 1 species
AUGGAUCCUGCCAAGCUUUUUGAUCUGGUUGAUGCAGAUUUGAUAAAAAAAGGCAAUGCAGAUCAAAAGACUUGGAUGUUUGGGAAGCUUCCGGUACGGUUUUUUAGUACUGUUGUUUCAUGUGUGGUUGAACUGAAUAACUUUGUUCAACUGGCCUAUUGUGGAAUACUCAUGAGGAGGUUGUUUUUCCGAGUGUAUAAACGGCCAGUCCUAGAGAUGCCAUCGUCUCGGGUUCCGAAGUUUUCAUCUCUGCCCGAUGAGUUGAGGGAUGGCCGUGGUGUUGAGGGUGCUGGUUAUGUCCCCCCUGGCCCUAGUAAUGCUAGUGCUUCACAGAGGCAGGGUUUUGGUAUUGAUGUUGUUGUUUCAGCGUUGGAGCGCGCUGAGCAUAUCUUAAGUAAUGUGUGUUCUGUGCUGCAAAAGGUCCCAACAACAGUUGAGCGUCUGAGCUGUAUCAAUUGUAUCCUUCCUAAAGGUCAUCAAUUUAAUGCUGAGGAAGUUGUUGACUACAUUGAGAUGGAGAGAAUUUUAAUCGAUGAUAUGCGUGACUGUGCCGCUGAUCUAGUUCAGAGCUCGGUUCGUCUGUUGAACAACAUGAAGCGUUUCAGAACUACGCAAAACUCUCGCUGCAAGCCAUAUGAAGAAAGUGCAAAUGUUGUUAUCAAGCAGAUUGAGCAGGAUGAGGUUGCUACCACCGACAGCAGGGCUGGUGAUGGUACUAAGGCUAAUGUUUCUGAUCACGAAAUGAAUGAUGUUGGCUUGGAGCGUCCUGAUGUCGAUAUUGAUCAGGAUGAGGCUACUGGCACCGACGACGGGGCUGAUGAUGGUACUGAGGCUAAUGUUUCUGAUCAGCAUACGAACGAUGUUGGCUUGCAGCACCCUGUUGUUGAUGAGACCAGUCAUAAUGUUGAUGCUGUUGUUGACCAAGGAGUUAAUGAUCCAUCCACUGAUAAGUGCAAGGAUCCUCUUGUUGACGAUGAGCCUUGUUUGCCCAUUGGUGAUGUUGCUUUGAAUGUUAGCAGCAGCAAGAUCGAUGAUGUUGGUGUGAAUGCUUUUAAGAUUAUUGAUGUUGAGCGUGAGGUUGUCCUUAGUGGUGGAGAUGAUGCUCGUGGUGUUCCAUCGAGUAGUAGGCACAAUGUUGGUAACAAAGUUGCUGAUGAGGAUGCUGGUGCUGCCAGCAUACUUGAUCCCAAAUCGCCUGGUGUUGGUAUUGCUGGGAAUGAAAAUGUUCCUGAUUGUGAAGAUUUGCCGCCGAAGAAUUUCCCGCCAAGAGGUCUCGAUUACGGUGAUGCAUUGCAAGAUGCUUCUAGCGUGGAGGAGGUGCCAUCUGAGGAUGAUGAUUUACUUCUGUCAAUUUCUUCUGACCCCUCGACGCAGGAGGCGCUCUUGUCGUCCCAGGAUUUUGUUUCUACAGACCCUGAAAGCGCAACAAUAUUGGUGUCCUCUCAAGAUGUCCCAUCGUCAAACCCUGAAACUGGAGGCAUAGGAACUACCAUCGUCGUCAAACCCUGA